UACGUAGGGAGCUAGCGUUGUCCGGAAUCAUUGGGCGUAAAGCGCGCGUAGGCGGCCAGAUUAGUCCGGUGGGAAAGUCAGAGGCUCAACCUUUGAAUGCCGCUGGAAACUGUCUGGCUUGAGUCCGGAAGGGGCGAGUGGAAUUCCUGGUGUAGCGGUGAAAUGCGCAGAUAUCAGGAGGAACACCAAUGGCGAAGGCGGCAUCCUGGACCGACAUUGACGCUGAUCCGCGAAAGCCAGGGGAGCAAACGGG
rnacentral:rRNA from 1 species